UACGAAGGGGGCUAGCGUUGCUCGGAAUCACUGGGCGUAAAGGGCGUGUAGGCGGUUCGUUAAGUCUGAUGUGAAAGCCCCGGGCUCAACCCGGGGAAGUGCAUUGGAAACUGGCGAACUUGAGUACGGGAGAGGGCAGUGGAAUUCCUAGUGUAGGAGUGAAAUCCGUAGAUAUUAGGAGGAACACCGGUGGCGAAGGCGGCUGCCUGGACCGAUACUGACUGAGACGCGAAAAGCGUGGGGGAGCAAAACAGG
rnacentral:rRNA from 1 species